rnacentral:rRNA from 2 species
UCCGGUGGCGAUACGCCCAGGGGUCACACCCGUACCCAUCCCGAACACGAUGGUUAAGACCUGGGAGGCCGAUGAUACUAUGCUGGAGACGGCAUGGGAAAGCAGGUGGCUGCCGGGA